AUUGAACGCUGGCGGCAUGCCUAGCACAUGCAAGUCGAACGGCAGCACGGUCUAGCUUGCUAGAUGGGUGGCGAGUGGCGAACGGGUGAGUAACGCGUAGGAAUAUGCCUUGAAGUGGGGGACAACUUGGGGAAACUCAAGCUAAUACCGCAUAAUUUCUUAGGAAAAAAGCUGGGGACCUUAGGGCCUGGCGCUUCAAGAUUAGCCUGCGUACGAUUAGCUAGUUGGUAGGGUAAGAGCCUACCAAGGCGACGAUCGUUAGCUGGUCUGAGAGGAUGGCCAGCCACACGGGAACUGAGACACGGUCCAGACUCCUACGGGAGGCAGCAGUGGGGAAUAUUGGACAAUGGGGGCAACCCUGAUCCAGCAAUGCCGCGUGUGUGAAGAAGGCCUGAGGGUUGUAAAGCACUUUCAGUGGGGAGGAGGAUUGCCAGGUUAAGAGCUAGGUAAUUGGACGUUACCCACAGAAGAAGCACCGGCUAACUCCGUGCCAGCCGCCGCGGUAA
rnacentral:rRNA from 1 species